rnacentral:rRNA from 1 species
UACGAAGGGGGCUAGCGUUGCUCGGAAUUACUGGGCGUAAAGCGCACGUAGGCGGAUUGUUAAGUCGGGGGUGAAAUCCUGGAGCUCAACUCCAGAACUGCCUUCGAUACUGGCGAUCUCGAGUUCGGGAGAGGUGAGUGGAACUGCGAGUGUAGAGGUGAAAUUCGUAGAUAUUCGCAAGAACACCAGUGGCGAAGGCGGCUCACUGGCCCGAUACUGACGCUGAGGUGCGAAAGCUGGGGGAGCAAACCGG